rnacentral:misc_RNA from 1 species
UUGAUAAGCGUGAGGUCGGAGGUUCAAGUCCUCCCAGGCCCACCAAUUUAUGCUCGUUUUUUGCUUAUCCAAGAGUAUAAAGCUUAAGCGUAUUAAAGCCUCUUCAAUCUUUGUUUAUUUUUAAAGAUUUUAUUUUAUCAUUCAGAGAUUGUUUGUUAAAUUUAUCCCAUUAAGCUUCCAAAAAGGCUUUGUCCCUUCAGUGGUACAGAUAAAUUUACAUGAUACAAAUCAAAACAGGACAGGUAAUUCAAGUUGAUGAAUUUGGUUAUGGUUGAUUUGAGAGAGCAUUAUUUAGGGGCCGUAGCUCAGCUGGGA